rnacentral:rRNA from 1 species
GACGAACGCUGGCGGCGCGCUUAACACAUGCAAGUCGAGCGAGAACCAAGCCUUCGGGCUUGGGGACAGCGGCGAACGGGUGAGUAACACGUGGGUAAUCAACCCUUGACACUGGGAUAGCCCGGGGAAACCCGGAUUAAUACCGGAUACCCCAUCUGGCCUUCGGGCCGGCUGGAAAAGGUAGCUUCGGCCUCCGGUCAGGACGAGCCCGCGGCGGAUUAGCUUGUUGGUGGGGUAAAGGCCCACCAAGGCGACGANCCGUAGCUGGUCUGAGAGGACGAUCAGCCACACUGGGACGUGAGACACGGCCCAGACUCCUACGGGAGGCAGCAGUGGGGAAUCUUGCGCAAUGGGCGAAAGCCUGACGCAGCGACGCCGCGUGAGGGAAGAAGGCC